AAUAGAUACCCUGGUAGUCCACGCCGUAAACGAUGAGUGCUAAGUGUUAGGGGGGUUUCCGCCCCUUAGUGCUGCAGCUAACGCAUUAAGCACUCCGCCUGGGGAGUACGGUCGCAAGACUGAAGCUCAAAGAAUUGACGGGGGGCCCGCACAAGCGGUGGAGCAUGUGGUUUAAUUCGAAGCAACGCGAAGAACCUUACCAGGUCUUGACAUCCUCUGACAACCCUAGAGAUAGGGCUUUCCCUUCGGGGACAGAGUGACAGGUGGUGCAUGGUUGUCGUCAGCUCGUGUCGUGAGAUGUUGGGUUAAGUCCCGCAACGAGCGCAACCCUUGAUCUUAGUUGCCAGCAUUUAGUUGGGCACUCUAAGGUGACUGCCGGUGACAAACCGGAGGAAGAUGGGGAUGACGUCAAAUCAUCAUGCCCCUUAUGACCUGGGCUACACACGUGCUACAAUGGACAGAACAAAGGGCUGCGAGACCGCAAGGUUUAGCCAAUCCCACAAAUCUGUUCUCAGUUCGGAUCGC
rnacentral:rRNA from 1 species